GGAGGGGGCAAGCGUUGUUCGGAAUUACUGGGCGUAAAGGGCUCGUAGGCGGCCAAGUAAGUCGGACGUGAAAUCCCUCGGCUUAACUGGGGAACUGCGUCCGAUACUGGAUGGCUUGAGUUUGGGAGAGGGAUGCGGAAUUCCAGGUGUAGCGGUGAAAUUCGUAGAUAUUUGGAGGAACACCGGUGGCGAAGGCGGCAUCCUGGACCCACACUGACGCUGAUGAGCGAAAGCCAGGGGAGCAAACGGGAUUAGAUACCCCGGUAGUCCUGGCCGUAAACGAUGAAUGCUAGGUGUUGGGGAGCAAAGCUCUUCGGUGCCGCCGCAAACGCAUUAAGCAUUCCACCUGGGGAGUACGUUCGCAAGAAUG
rnacentral:rRNA from 1 species